rnacentral:rRNA from 1 species
GAACGCGAAAGGGGGCAACCCCGAGUAGAGUGGCGAACGGGUGAGCAAUACAUCGGAACGUGUCCUGUAGCGGGGGACAACCUCGAGAAAUCGAGGCUAAUACCGCAUACGAUCUACGGAUGAAAGUGGGGGACCGCAAGGCCCCACACUAUAGGAGCGGCCGAUGCCGGAUUAGCUAGUUGGUGGGGUAAUAGCCUACCAAGGCGACGAUCGGUAGCUGGUCUGAGAGGAUGACCAGCCUCACUGGGACUGAGACACGGCCCAGACUCCUACGGGAGGCAGCAGUGGGGAAUCUUGCACAAUGGGCGAAAGCCUGAUGCAGCGACGCCGCGUGGGGGAUGAAGCUUUUCGGAGUGUAAACCCCUUUCGAUCCGGACGAAUGUCCCGCAAGGGAUUGACGGUACGGGUAUAAGAAGCCCCGGCUAACUACGUG